GGGGAUGUAGCUAAGUGGUACAGUGCUUGCCUAGUAUGCAUGAGGUCCUGGGUUCAAUCCCUAACACCUA
rnacentral:tRNA from 1 species